UACGAAGGGGGCUAGCGUUGCUCGGAAUUAGUCGUGGGCGUAAAGGGCGGCGUACGGCGGCGCUGCAAGUCAGGCGUGAAAUUCCUGGGCUUAACCUGGGGGCUGCGCUUGAAGACUGUGGUGCUAGAGGACGGAAGAGGGUCGUGGAAUUCCCAGUGUAGAGGUGAAAUUCGUAGAUAUUGGGAAGAACACGGUGCCGAAGGCGGCGACCUGGUCCGUUACUGACGCUGAGGCGCGACAGCGUGGGGAGCAAACGAGG
rnacentral:rRNA from 1 species